rnacentral:rRNA from 1 species
AACGAACGCUGGCGGCAUGGAUUAGGCAUGCAAGUCGAGCGAGAAGUGUAGCAAUACACGGAAAGCGGCGGAAGGGAGAGUAAUACGUGGGAAUCUGCCCUUAGACCUGGGAUAGCAGCGGGAAACUGCUGGUAAUACCAGAUAAUGUCUAUGGACCAAAGGUGUGAUUCCGUCUAGGGAUGAGCCCACGUCCUAUUAGCUAGUUGGUAGUGUAAUGGCCUACCAAGGCGAUGAUGUGUAGCGGGUGUGAGAGCAUGACCCGCCUCACUGGGACUGAGACACUGCCCAGACACCUACGGGUGGCUUCAGUGGAGAAUCUUCGGCAAUGGGCGCAAGCCUGACCGAGCGAUGCCGCGUGCGGGAUGAAGGCAUUCGGGUUGUAAACCGCUGUCGAGGGGGAGCAACUUCCAUAGAGUUAUCUUUAUGGAUUGAGUGAUCCCUGGAGGAAGGACGGGCUAAGUUCGUGCCAGCCGCCGCCGUAACAC